AAAAACAGUGGUGGAAAAGUUAGUCACUGUUGCCACCUAGUGGAUAAAACAUGAGCUGAAAAUUAAUAAAGGAUUUCAUUACAGAACUGAUGCUGGGUUCCCACAAUUUAUGACCAAUGAAUUUGUGAUUUGAAAUUACUUUUCACCAUCUGUGACCAUCGUAUACAUAUACACUACCCUUUAGAACAGUUACUUAAAAUUACACAAUUGAUCAAAUAUUUGGGGUCCGCAAGUUUUUGUUUUGAAAGCAAUUAAUCCUUUUAUUCAGCAAAUAUGCAUUACAUUGAUCAAAAGUGACA